CGUACAUGUAGCCAUAUAAAAAAAUGUAUGAGAUUGUUUAAAAUAACAAAUUGGGCGUACAUGUAGCCAUAAAAAAAAUGUGUGAGAUUGUUUAAAAUAACAAAUUGGCGAAAAAUAAAAUAUUUACCAGGCGUAUGUGUCAUACGCUGCAGGGAUUCAAUUUCAAUAUUCCGUUGGGGUUGCUCGAUGUGCAGACCGCACAGGUUGGGGUGGAUGUGCUCUCUUUUAGGCACACCCCUAAACAACCUGGCGCUCUUAUGAAUUGGUAUGCUUAUGUUAAGCUAAGCCAUGUGGGACUAAAAAUUGCUUCUCUGUCAUUUGUUCGUUCGGCUAACACGCGGGGUUUGUGUGUGCCUUGUGGCCAUGUGACAUUGAGGAGGACAGGCAGGCCGAAAUAAUGGCGCAUACGUGAGUCAAGGCCCACACCUUCCUCGUCUCUGUACUGACGCCGCAUCUCGCUCCCUCUCCUCCACGCCCCACUUCGCGGUCCACCGUGGAACCGCUGCAGCCCAGCCCCACCCCACCCUCCCGGCGUGCACUCUGGCGAGGAGGAUAGCGGUUGGCCCCUCCAGGUCGCGGCGCGCACAGCGGCAAGACGGGAGCUUCGAACACUGCUUCCUUCGUGAUGUGGAGGAUUUCAGAUAUUCCGACCUGCAGGAAUAGCUAUCAAGCUAAGCCGCAUAACAAACUUACAUGAGAAAUCUACUAGAGUCAUACAUGCUUAUGCUAUAGAGCAGAUUAAAGCAACGAACGCAGCAAACAAAUGACCCAGUCUGGUAAUCCCAGAGGACUUCGAACCCACCCUCUGCUGGUUGGUCCAUUCAGCCACUGCUGCGCACAGAGGCCUCUCUUGCAGUUCGAUCAUUGCUUGCUUCCCCCCGCGCCCUGCGGCAAGAUGGGAGCGGACGAGAGAGACGAGGCAAGGCUUCCUUUCUCUUACAGUUCAACCAUUGAUUUCUUGCUGUGGAGGCUUUCAGAGAUCCCGACCUGCAGCUUGGAUUUUCAUGACGCCUCAUCAAAAACCAAUCCUCUUAUGUGGGAGAGAGGAGACCAAGUGGAAAUACCCCCCACCUUCUCUGCAUCUUCUUACCAACUCUGGGCAGCCAACUAUGCCUAAGCGUUCGACGGCUGGCAACCGCUCCAGGAGACCAUGCGGGAAUUCCUCCAUAGCUGGACAAUCAUAAAUCCUCAAUUCCCUAAGAGAAGUGAGGCCACACAUCCCAUCAAGCAGCGCUUCCAGGCCACUGCAGAAACUCACACCGAGACAAUGGGGAUCAAUGGAAUACUUGCAAGCUUGGGGCAAUUUUCGAUCCUUAGCACUUCAAGCAUCGGGAACUUUACAAAGCUAUCACAAGGCUCUCCCACAAUAUUUUCCGCACACAUCUCCAGGCUUGGUAACUUAAUCAACUCCGUCCUCUUCAAGCCAGGGAAAAUUUGCAGAGGGGUAAUGCAUCCACCUUCCACAUCAAGGUUAUUACAUAAUGUGGUCAUGUUAUCCAUCUUCUCCAAGGACAAAAUUUCUAGAGAGACCGAGAACCAUACUACAGGAAUAUGCACGAAAUUGUUUUCGAUCUGUCACUUAUUCUAUGGCGUACUAGACGGGAGACGCGGCACACGGACUUGGUAAUCCCUUUUUUUUUUUUGCUAUACAUCAAUACAAUUGUAGAUUAUACAACAAAAAAUCAUACUAUGGUAAAUUAGUUCAGUGAACCCAGAGUUAUGAGAUAAUCAUAUUUUUGAAUUUGAGAAAAGUUAGAUUAUACACGAUGCAUGGAAAGGAUUUUUGCACCAGCUUUCUUCGUACCAACAGGAUUAAUUUCUGCUGUUAUGAUUGUUGAAUAAUAAAUAAUUGAGAAGCUGGACAUACCUCCAUGAGGAAAAACAGAUGACACAACCAUCAUAAUCGCAUUGGUUGCAAACAUAUGGAUGAGAACGGUUUUAACACAUCAUUUUUUUUAGUGAAACAAUGGCCUGAAGUCUGAACUAUUUUGGAAAAAAAAGUUUCUGAACAAAUAAAAGGUACACGCAACAAAAUUUAUUGUUCUCGCUGAGGCGCAGAUCAAUACUCGACACACAACAAAAUCAUGUUGCCAAUACAUAUCUAAUCAGAGAUUUUUUGCUUUAUUUAUGUUGGGGGAGCUGCAGUGCAAGUCUCAUUAGUCUGGUACAACUGAUGAGAUGCAGUACUGGCACGCUGCGUUUAAGGUAUCAUGCACAAUCUGAAUUGGAUUAGAUUCGCCAACAUUAUAUUUCUUGGUAUAUGAAACUACCAAGAUGCAGCCGAAAUGGGAGAAGCGACGUGCGCAUGCGCUGGCCAAUCAUGCUGAAGCUGAACGGCAACACAGGUGGUUGGAACUGAAGAAACUGAAGCUCCGUCAACCAGGGCAGUGCCAGCUUCGGAGAAGCAAUCAUCAGAAGAUAAAGAUACUGAAGUUGGGGCCCGCAGGAACCGUGCUCAGUUGAUUUGCUUCCAUCAACUAUGAGGGUGGGUUAUGCUAUGCAAGAGGAAAGUACAAGGUUGUCGUCAGAAUUUUUUACCUGAAACACCGAGUCAUUCAUGGUCUCGAUGGAUCUGCAGUAUCAGACGGUGGCAUCAGAAUUCAGGCAUACAUGCGUGUUGCUCUGUCUCAGUUAGUCGCAAAUGUUCAGAACUCCUCACACAUGCGCAGUCAAAAGCUUAACACUAAGCACUUACAGGAAUAUUUACUUCAGAGAUAUUAUCAGCCGGUCCUAGCAAGGCAGAACAGUUAUGGAAUCCCUGAGACGGAUCAUAAGUUUAGUUCAACCAUAUUUGAACAAGGACGCCAUGGGACUCCCCAUUGCCAACGACAUCACGCACCUCACCACCCAGGCCCAUGUCCGGCUCGGCAAGAUGCUCACCGACGCAUACAUAUCCACGCUUUGAUGAUAAUCCAGUACGCAUACGUAGCCACGCUCUGAUGAUCCAGGACGUAAUCAGUGUGUGUACAUUCCAGUGAACACUUCCAAUCAGGCAGGCAGGCAGACAUUACUGACACUAUCAUUGAUUCCAUCUACUCCCUCGCGUUUUUUACACAAAAGAGCGUUUUUUACACCAGAUUGUGGUGUAAAAAACACUCUUAUAUUAUGGGACAGAGGGAGUAAUACUGAAUUUGGUGAUGAUUAGUUGUGGACAACAGAUGAAUAAAUCUGCUCUAGUCUGAUACUCUGUAGUAGUAAUAUCAGGAUGCUUCAUGUCAGGCUCCCAAAGGCUCCAACUCAAGGAAGGAGCAGACACGAGCUCAGACUAUUCCUGCCAUUAAUUGCUAUGGGCAUUGUAGGAAUUGGUACAAUCUCAUCAUCAGUACAGCACUGCCGUUGUGCUGAAGAGAAAUUCUGAGCUGCAGUCUGCAGGUACAUCGAUCCAUCGCAUGUUAUUACCGAUUCAUCGCAUGUUAUUACCGAAUUUGAUGUGAGAAACAUUUAUUUCGACAAAAGGGAGAUUAAUUAUUCACCAGGGCAAACAUGUCAUGUGUAUACUGAUUUAUACUCCAUGACGCCAUCAUCAGAAAUCAAGUUCACCAUAUCUACGUGGGAUAGACGAGAGCAAGUGGAAAUACUCCCCACCUUCUAUGCAUGUCUUACCAACUUCGGGCAACCACUUAUCCUUAGAGCAACUCCAACCCGCCGACCCAAACUGUCGCGCGUGUCUGUUUGGAUCGAUACAGACAGAAAAA